UUCCUAAUUGACACAUGUCUUCAUCACCAGGACCCCUCCGCUGGAGCGGAGGAUGAUCGGGAGGACUACCCAAACAAUACCAUGGCCGGACCAUCGGCAGGAGGACCCCUCCGCUGGAGUGGAGGAUGAUCGGGAUGACUACCGUGGAAUGCCACGGCCGGACCAUCGGCAGGAGGACCCCUCCGCUGGAGCGGAG